rnacentral:rRNA from 1 species
GACAGAGGGUGCAAACGUUGUUCGGAAUUACUGGGCGUAAAGCGCACGUAGGCGGAUUUGUAAGUCAGGGGUGAAAUCCCGGGGCUCAACCUCGGAACUGCCUUUGAUACUGCAAAUCUCGAGUCCGGAAGAGGUGAGUGGAAUUCCUAGUGUAGAGGUGAAAUUCGUAGAUAUUAGGAAGAACACCAGUGGCGAAGGCGGCGAUCUGGGAAGAUACUGACGCUGAGGUGCGAAAGCGUGGGGAGCAAACAGG